UGAGGAAUAUUGGUCAAUGGGCGAGAGCCUGAACCAGCCAAGUAGCGUGAAGGAUGACCGCCCUAUGGGUUGUAAACUUCUUUUAUAUGGGAAUAAAGGGUGCCACGUGUGGCAUUUUGUAUGUACCAUAUGAAUAAGGAUCGGCUAACUCCGUGCCAGCAGCCGCGGUAAUACGGAGGAUCCGAGCGUUAUCCGGAUUUAUUGGGUUUAAAGGGAGCGUAGGUGGACAUGUAAGUCAGUUGUGAAAGUUUGCGGCUCAACCGUAAAAUUGCAGUUGAAACUGCGUGUCUUGAGUACAGUAGAGGUGGGCGGAAUUCGUGGUGUAGCGGUGAAAUGCUUAGAUAUCACGAAGAACUCCGAUUGCGAAGGCAGCCUGCUAAGCUGCAACUGACAUUGAGGCUCGAAAGUGUGGGUAUCAAACAGGAUUAGAUACCCUGGUAGUCCACACGGUAAACGAUGAAUACUCGCUGUUUGCGAUAUACGGCAAGCGGCCAAGCGAAAGCGUUAAGUAUUCCACCUGGGGAGUACGCCGGCAACGGUGAAACUCAAAGGAAUUGACGGGGGCCCGCACAAGCGGAGGAACAUGUGGUUUAAUUCGAUGAUACGCGAGGAACCUUACCCGGGCUUAAAUUGCAGAUGAAUUACGGUGAAAGCCGUAAGCCGCAAGGCAUCUGUGAAGGUGCUGCAUGGUUGUCGUCAGCUCGUGCCGUGAGGUGUCGGCUUAAGUGCCAUAACGAGCGCAACCCUUGUUGUCAGUUACUAACAGGUCAUGCUGAGGACUCUGACAAGACUGCCAUCGUAAGAUGUGAGGAAGGUGGGGAUGACGUCAAAUCAGCACGGCCCUUACGUCCGGGGCUACACACGUGUUACAAUGGCGUAACAAAGGGAAGCGAGCCUGCGAGGGUGAGCAAAUCCCAAAAAUAACGUCCCAGUUCGGACUGUAGUCUGCAACCCGACUACACGAAGCUGGAAUCGCUAGUAAUCGCGAAUCAGAAUGUCGCGGUGAAUACGUUCCC
rnacentral:rRNA from 1 species